GCACAAGCAGCGGAGCGUGUGGUUUAAUUCGUUGCUACACGAAGAACCUUACCUGGGUUUGACAUAGCAGUGGUAGGGAAGAGAAAUCGGACCGACCCUUCGGGGAGCUGUUACAGGUGUUGCAUGGCUGUCGUCAGCUCGUGUCGUGAGAUGUUCGGUUAAGUCCGCUAACGAGCGCAACCCGCGUUGUGUGUUAUAUGUGUCACACAAUACCGCCGGUAUUAAGCCGGAGGAAGGUGCGGAUGACGUCAAAUCAUCAUGCCCCUUAUGUUCUGGGCUACACACGUGCUACAAUGGCCGGUACAGACGGACGCAAAGCCGCGAGGUGGAGCAAAUCCUAAAAAGCCGGUCUCAGUUCGGAUUGCAGGCUGCAAUUCGCCUGCAUGAAGUCGGAAUCGCUAGUAAUCGCAGGUCAGCAUACUGCGGUGAAUACGUUCCCGGGCCUU
rnacentral:rRNA from 1 species